AACCGUGUACGCCGCUGAAUCAGACUGAGCCUAUACCGAACAACAGACCUCGGAAAAGGGAACACUGUAGAAGGCUCAUUUCAACCAGCAGCAGCAGGAGCAGUAGUAGGAGCAGCACAAACAGACCCCGACGAUCCGUGAGAGGCUGUCAGAAUUGCUGUCGGACUGCCCAUGAACAACUAGUUCUAAUGAGUAAUGCUUUCCGACUAAUGGGUGAAAUGCUGGCUGUCUACAGUGAUCAUAAUUAGUAAGAACCACUACUAUGGUAUAAAAAAUCUAAAGGCCUUUCUGGGUUCCCCAUAUCUGUGUGAGUACUGUUACACAGGGUACAACGGUGUGCUGAGUCACCGAUGCCCUGCUCAUUGUUCCGUUUGCUUUGACCCUACCUGUAAUCAGAAGGGGUUCCAGCCUAUUGUGUGUAAAGAGUGUAACAGGACAUGUCGUUCAGAAUUCUGUCUGACAAAGCACAAAGAGCCUACAGAGAGGCCCAGAGCCAAAAAA